rnacentral:sRNA from 1 species
UAAUGAUAAUAGAAAAGGAGUUGGACGGCAAUCCAACUCCCACGUAGAACCGUUUAAGACGGUGGCUCGUUUUAGCUAUUAAAAA